CGACCUCAGAUCGGGCGAGACUACCCGCUGAAUUUAAGCAUAUCAAUAAGCGGAGGAAAAGAAACUAACAAGGAUUCCCC
rnacentral:rRNA from 4 species